GUGCAAGAUGGGGGAGUAGCGGUUCCUUGUAAUCUGCAAUCCGCUAUAGCAGAGUCUAAAGUCGUCAGAGGGCUUUUGUGGUCGGAGGCGGUAAUGGUAUCUUGGUGUUGAUAUAUUGGACCUAUUUGCAACGUUGAAGAGCGCCGAACCUCGUCAGGUCAGGAAUGAAGCAGCGAUAAGCGUUUCUUGCGUGUGACAAAUAGCCAUCCUUAUGGAGCCAAGUGCCACUAUGCGCACGGUUGCGACUG
rnacentral:SRP_RNA from 1 species